rnacentral:rRNA from 1 species
AAUGAACGCUGGCGGCAGGCCUAAAACAUGCAAGUCGAACGCCCUAGCAAUAGGGAGUGGCGCACGGGUGAGUAACAUGUGGGAAUAUGCCUUUUGGUACGGAACAACGUUUGGAAACGAACGCUAAUACGGUAUGGUCCCUCCGGGGUAAAGAUUUAUCGCCAAAAGACUAGCCCGCACUAGAUUAGCUAGUUGGUAAGGUAAUGGCUUACCAAGGCGACGAUCUAUAGCUGUUCUGAGAGGAAGAUCAGCCACACUGGGACUGAGACACGGCCCAGACUCCUACGGGAGGCAGCAGUUAGGAAUAUUGGACAAUGGGCGCAAGCCUGAUCCAGCCAUGCCGCGUGAGUGAUGAAGGCCUUCGGGUUGUAAAGCUCUUUAGCCGACGAAUAUAAUGACUGUAGUCGGAGAAUAAGCCCCGGCUAACUUCGUGCCAGCCGCCGCGGUAAAAC